AACGGGAUCUUCGGAUCUAGUGGCGGACGGGUGAGUAACGCGUGNGGAACGUACCCUUUGGUUCGGAAUAGCCCUGGGAAACUGGGAGUAAUACCGGAUACGGUCGAGAGACGAAAGAUUUAUCGCCGAAGGAUCGGCCCGCGUUGGAUUAGGUAGUUGGUGGGGUAAUGGCCUACCAAGCCGACGAUCCAUAGCUGGUUUGAGAGGAUGAUCAGCCACACUGGGACUGAGACACGGCCCAGACUCCUACGGGAGGCAGCAGUGGGGAAUCUUAGACAAUGGGGGAAACCCUGAUCUAGCCAUGCCGCGUGAGCGAUGAAGGCCUUAGGGUUGUAAAGCUCUUUCGUGGGGGAAGAUAAUGACUGUACCCCAAGAAGAAGCCCCGGCUAACUCCGUGCCAGCAGCCGCGGUAAUACGAAGGGGGCUAGCGUUGCUCGGAAUUACUGGGCGUAAAGGGAGCGUAGGCGGACAUUUAAGUCAGGGGUGAAAUCCCGGGGCUCAACCUCGGAACUGCCUUUGAUACUGGAUGUCUUGAGUGUGAGAGAGGUAUGUGGAACUC
rnacentral:rRNA from 1 species